GGAGGGAUGGCCGAGUGGACGAAGGCGGCGGUCUUGAAAACCGCUGUGACCAAGUGUCACCGGGGGUUCGAAUCCCUCUCCCUCCG
rnacentral:tRNA from 1 species